AAAAAUUUGAUCAUUUUAUUUCAUAUGGAUCAUCAAAAAUUAGGCACCACCAAUAUUAUGAGUCCUCCAUCAGUCCCAAAUCACUAUAAAAAAUUUCAUGAUCAAGAAAAGAGACAUGAUUUUCAAACUCAACAACCUUACCUUGUGUAUUCCCCUGUUGUUAAGCCUAACAACAAUCCAAUUGACUCUGUUUCUCAUGUCUUCAAUUCUUGGACUAACAAAGCUGACACUAUGGCCCGUAACGUCUGGCGUAACUUGAAAACUGGUCCAUCAGUAUCAGAAGCAGCAUGUGGUAA
rnacentral:misc_RNA from 1 species